CCUGAAGAGGGGUGUGUGGCCUGAAGAAGGGUGUGGCCUGAAGAGGGAUGUGGUCUGAAAAGGGGUGUGGCCUGAAGGGGUGUGUGGCCUGAAGGGGUGUGUGGUCUGAAGAGGGGUGUGGUCUGAAGAGGGGUGUGGUCUGAAGAGGGGUGUGGCCUGAAGGGGUUUUCUAACCUCCCCUCUUUAGGAUGCACACAAAGAUGAACAGUCAGCUAGAAUGCAGUGUAACCUGUUAAACCUGUCUGGUGAUGACAACACUAAAGUUACUUGCAGCUUCUGAUCAGUAAUGUAGCAGGUGGGUUAGAAUCUGAUCCUCGGUCUGAUCUUAGUCCUGACUCGGGGUAGAACAGGUGGGUUAGAAUCUGAUCUUAGUCCUGACUCGGGGAAGAACAGGUGGGUUAGAAUCUGAUCCUAGUCCUGACUCGGGGAAGAACAGGUGGGUUAGAAUCUGAUCCUAGUCCUGACUCGGGGAAGAACAGGUGGGUUAGAAUCUGAUCCUAGUCCUGACUCGGCGAAGAACAGGUGUGUUACUGUCAUACAGCCUUCAUUUUGACUGAGACACAGAGGAGACUUGACAGAGAGCAGACUGACACAACUACAAUCAGUACCCAAGAACCUCAGCUCUCUUCCUCUCCUCCCUGUCUGCUACGGUGGGCUCCUCCCCCCCUGUCUGCUAUGGGGGGCUCCUCCUCUAAGAAGACUGUAUUUGGGGGGAGAAAGAAGCAACAGGACUCAGUGUUGACCUGGAGUGAACUGAAGGGGGCAUUAUCCAGUAAGAAACAGAAGAGAAGCAUCAUUAUUCCUCCUCUGGACAAACUGUCAGUGGAUAACCUGAAGAGGGAGGUCCUUACUCCCAAUAAUACGUUUUCAGUGGCCGGGAAGAGGAAGGAGUCGCUGUCAAUCAAGAGGCUGUCAUUGGAUAACUCUAGGAAGGAGUCUGUGUCACCGAAGUCUCUCUCUCUGGGUAAGAGGAAGAAAGGAGAGCAGAAGAUAUUCUCUCUGCUUAACAUCAAGAAGGAAUCACCUCCUCCACCACCAGCCCAAAAUAUAUUCUCUCUGCUUAACAUCAAGAAGGAAUCACCUCCUCCACCACCAGCC